UCUUGAUCAGCAUCAAUAGCCGAGUCGAUAUCUGUCUGUCCGUCCGUCUGUACGUCCGUCCGUCGUGCUUGUCGGCUAGUUCUCAGAGACUAUAAGAGCAAGAGCCACCAAAUUUUGGCUCCGGACUGCUGUAUGCUCACAUUGAAACCAGUGUAUUUCAAAAAUUAGCCGCGCCCCUACCGCCCCCGCAAAAGGGUGGAAACC
rnacentral:lncRNA from 1 species